AUCGAACGCUGGCGGCAUGCCUUACACAUGCAAGUCGAACGGUAACAGGUCUUCGGAUGCUGACGAGUGGCGAACGGGUGAGUAAUACAUCGGAACGUGCCCGAUCGUGGGGGAUAACGGAGCGAAAGCUUUGCUAAUACCGCAUACGAACUACGGAUGAAAGCAGGGGACCGCAAGGCCUUGCGCGGACGGAGCGGCCGAUGGCAGAUUAGGUAGGUGGUGGGAUAAAAGCUUACCAAGCCGACGAUAUGUAGCUGGUCUGAGAGGACGACCAGCCACACUGGGACUGAGACACGGCCCAGACUCCUACGGGAGGCAGCAGUGGGGAAUUUUGGACAAUGGGCGAAAGCCUGAUCCAGCCAUGCCGCGUGCAGGAUGAAGGCCUUCGGGUUGUAAACUGCUUUUGUACGGAACGAAAAGCCUCUUUCUAAUAAAGAGAGGUCAUGACGGUACCGUAAGAAUAAGCACCGGCUAACUACGUGCCAGCAGCCGCAGUAAUAC
rnacentral:rRNA from 1 species